ACUAAUUACGAUAAGAGCAGGAAUUAGUUAAAAUUGCUUAUUGUCUUCAAAGAUAGAAACUGACAACUAUUUACAUACUCUUAUGUAGGUCAACAGAAUGGUGAACACCACAAAAAGCCAGAUAUUUUGGAAACCUGAAUUAGAAGCAGACACUUAUGCAAGUAAAUAACCCAACCAUUUCUUACUCAAGUCAACAAUAUGGUUUUUUCACCACAAUUUAUCUAACAUUAAACCUAAUACAAGUUUCCAAACAUUAAAAUUCCAUUAGGUGAAAAUGAAGAAUUCGAAGAAAAGAAGUGCAAAAUGCGAAACAAAGAAGCACCUCAGACAAAUAUAUUUCAA
rnacentral:sRNA from 1 species